rnacentral:rRNA from 1 species
AGAUGCGAUCAUACCAGCACUAAAGCACCGGAUCCCAUCAAAACUCCGAAGUUAAGCGUGCUUGGGCGAGAGUAGUACUAGGAUGGGUGACCUCUUGGGAAGUCCUCGUGUUGCAUUCC